rnacentral:rRNA from 1 species
UCCAGUUGAUCCUGCUGGAGGGUACUGCUUUCGGAAUUCGAUUAAGCCAUGCAAGUUAGCCCAGUCACUUGACUGGACAGCAUACGGCUCAGUAACACGUAGUUAACCUGCCCUAUAGACGGAGAUAACCUUGGGAAACUGAGGGGAAUACCCGAUAGAUGACAGAUACUGGAAUGUUCUAUCAUCCAAAAAGUUGCAAAUUGGAGCAUUACUGCUAUAGGAUGGGACUGCGGCAGAUUAGGCUGUUGGUGAGGUAACGGCUCACCAAAACCGAUAAUCUGUAGGGGCAUUGGGAGAUGGAGCCCCGAGAAGGGCACUGAGAUAAGGGCCCUAGUCCUACGGGAUGCAGCAGGCGCGAAACCUUUACAAUGCGCGAAAGCGUGAUAAGGGGAUUCCGAGUGGUCGUUGGCUAACGCUGAUGGCCUUUUUGCUAAGCUUAGACAGCUUGGAGAAUAAGUGCUGGGUAAGACCGGUGCCAGCCGCCGCGGUAACACCGGCAGCGCAAGUGGUACCCACGAAUAUUGGGUCUAAAGCGUUCGUAGCCUGUUUAUUAAGUUCGCUGUGAAAUCCAGGGGCCUAACCUCUGGGCGUGCAGUGAAGACUGGUAGACUUGAGAACGGGGGAGGUAGAGAGUACUAAUGAGGUAAGAGUUAAAUCUGAUAAUCUCAUUGGGACUCACAGUGGCGAAGGCGCUCUACCAAAACGUAUCUGACGGUGAGGAACGAAGGCUAGGAGAACGAACGGGAUUAGAUACCCCGGUAGCCCUAGCAGUAAAUGAUGCAAACUUGGUGUUACAUUACCUACGAGGUAAUGUAGUGCCGUAGCGAAGGUGUUAAGUUUGCCACCUGGGGAGUACGAUCGCAAGAUUUAAACUUAAAGGAAUUGGCGGGGGAGCGCCACCAGGGGUGGAAGCUGCGGUUUAAUUGGAUACAACGCCUGGAAUAUUACCGGGAAAGACAGCAGAAUGAAGGUCAGGCUGAAGACCUUACCAGACAAGCUGAGAGGUGAUGCAUGGCCAUCGUCAGUUCGUGGCGUGAGCUGUCAGGUUAAGUCCUGUAACGAACGAGACCCUCAUGUGCAUUUGCUAAUUCUCCGUCCGCGGGGGAUGCACCAUGCACAGACUGCCCGUGUAAAACGGGAGGAAGGAGAGGGCUACGGUAGGUCAGUAUGUCCUGAAUUUCCCGGGCUACACGCGGCUUACAAUGGUUGGAACAAUGGGCUGCGACUCCGAAAGGAGAAGCUAAUCUCACAAAACCAAUCUUAGUCCGGAUCGAGGGUUGAAACUCACCCUCGUGAAGUUGGAAUCCCUAGUAAUCGCGUGUUAGGAACGCGCGGUGAAUACGUCAACGCUCCUUGCACACACCGCCCGUCAAAUCACCCAAGCGAGGUUUUGGUGAGGCCCCAGAAAUUAGCUGGUGUCGAGUCUGGACUUUGUGAGGGGGGUUAAGUCGUAACAAGGUA